rnacentral:rRNA from 1 species
UACGUAGGGGGGCAAGCGUUGUCCGGAAUCAUUGGGCGUAAAGAGCGUGUAGGCGGUUCGGUAAGUCGGCUGUGAAAGUCCAGGGCUCAACCCUGGGAUGCCGGUCGAUACUGCCGGACUAGAGUUCGGAAGAGGCGAGUGGAAUUCCCGGUGUAGCGGUGAAAUGCGCAGAUAUCGGGAGGAACACCUAUGGCGAAGGCAGCUCGCUGGGACGUUACUGACGCUGAGACGCGAAAGCGUGGGGGAGCAAACAGG